AUAUCUCUUAAAGGGAUAUCCUCUGGCUCUAAGGAUUCCGUUUAGGAAGGCAAGCCUUGUUUUGGUAUUCCCCUUUAAGCCUGGCUGAAGAAGCAAAACCAAACGGCGGCUCCAGGGCGAGGCAGGGCGAGGAGAAGGCCAAGCGCAGGCACGCAGGCAUGGCUCUUCUCUCUUCUCUUCGCUCCCUCCCUGCUUCGCGGAAGGCUUCUACUGAGCCGGUGUGGUCGGGGGGGGGGGGGCAUCCGAAGACAUUAGAAACAAACGAAAAAAAGAGAACACAGUUGAACAACUUGGAGUGCGUCCAGAAGCGGUCAAGCAAUAUGGAACAUGUGGAAACCAAGCUGCCUGAGGAACAUCUUAGAGAGUCAAGUACAUUGAGGAAGGAGAAGAGAGAACUGAGAGUUGACAUCAUAGCCACAUUUAAAUAUCUGAAAUGAUGUCAUAUAGAAGAUGAAAUGACCUUAUUUUCUGCUUUCCAGAAUUGUGAACAAGAAUCAAUGGGCUCACAUCGUAAGAAAAGACAUUCCAAAUAAUGAUUUAGAAGAAUUUGUAACUGUAAGAACUAUUCACAAUGGAAUGGAAUACAUUGCCUCAUUGAGUGGUGGACUUUCCAUCUUUAGAGAUUUUUAAGCAGAAUUUUAAUAAUUAUCUUUCACAAGUGCUUUAGUUGUGUAUUUCUAUGUGGAAUAUAGCUCUUGCAGCCCCUUCCAGUUCUCUGAUUCUGUAUGAUAUGUGAAGGCUGCAUAACUUAGGUAGAAGAGAAUAUUCAUAUUACUCCCACAGGUAUGGAACAUCAUCCAGGAUUGAUUACAUCUUUGCAACAAAGGAGUUGGUAGUAAAAACUUAAAAGGGGAACAAUGGGAGAAUAAAUGUUUAUAUGUUGAAAAACUCCAAAAUUAAGGAAAAGAACUGAGUAGGGAUACAAAACUAAUUAAAAGAGAAUUUAAAGGUGGAUAUUCAUGAAAGUUUGUCUGGGAUGCAGGGAAAGUGGCAAUGAGAGGCUUACUGAUCCAGCAAAAUGC
rnacentral:lncRNA from 11 species